rnacentral:lncRNA from 1 species
AAGGAGAUGGAGUUUGCACACUUGGUCCAAGGGGACAUGACUGUAUCAGAAUAUACUCGAAAGUUCUUAGAGUUGGGCUAGUAUUUCCCUAAGAGCAUGAUGAAUGAAGGAAGGAAUGCAAGAAAGUUCGAGUGGGGUCUCUGUCUUGAGAUUAGACAACAGUUAUAUGUGUUCGAGCUCAGUAUUUACUCAGCUGUUCUGGCCAAGGCACAGUCGGUGGAGAGGAACCUUUGCAUUUUUUCUCAAGUAGUAGGGAACCUCAGGCCCUCAGCUUCACUUCGCAAACUAGCACCUACUGCACCUGUUCAACAGAACAAGAGACC